AACGAGCGGCCAUAGACAUGCAACUUUGUGCCUGAUGACAGUGCUUCAGCUCUUAGGCUCCACAAGCAACAACUAGUCCCAGGUCUCCUGCCACAAAGAUACUGUUCAGCUCCUGCCCUCUCUGGAAAAUACUGUAUUUUACAAAUUUAGCAUUGCUUCUUGCAGAUUUUACUGAAAUUGGAGCUUUUGCCAGUCCAAGUGAAUGUGAAAGUGCAAACAUACAGGAUGUGAAUGAGAGCCUUGCAAAAUAUUCAAACUGCUUUCAUGAAAUGAUUGCCAAGGGUGAAAAAACUUAAAUCAAUUUGCUUGCCUGGACACUGCAAGAAACACUUGAUCUCCUGCACCCUGUUCAAG